ensembl:lncRNA
AUGAUUUUUUACAUGUAUAGUUGUGAGGACAUAGGGACUAAUAAUGCUUUUUCUUUUCCCUUCUUUGCCACUCUUUUUCUCAAUCAUGGUUCUUGCUCAUCCUUUUUGUCUCCUGCUUCUUCACACCAUGUUGUGACUGCGCCUUCGAGGAUUAUGGUUGAUGGGGAUAGAAUUCGAAGAGGAAGAAAAAACCCUCGUGAUGAGGGUUCACUGGAGACAAAAAGGAUCAGAUGAUCAUUAGCAGUAGGACUACUCUUCAGUCAGACAUAGAACCUCAUCAGAUGAGGGCAAAAUUGGUGGCAUGCACCGAUUUGCCUUUUCCUUUACAACGGAUCCUGCCAGCUCCUAUCCCACUAAGCACUACAGCUUCUAGCAACCUGCCUGAAAAGUGACACAGUGCCUCUGAUUCCCACCCCCCUCCACCCACUGCCCCUGUACCAGUCAUGCCAGAACAGCAACAGACACACAUACCUUGUCAGUGUUAAGAUGGAGAUAAUCCACUAAGGCGACCAUAGCAGUCUCAAUUCCAUAUCCUGCUCUAAAGUUGGUUUGAAAUGAGCCAAUUGCUGUCUUAAUCACUUUGCCGAAAAAUGAAGAUUAGACACUGAUCAAUAAUUAUUAAGGUACAGAGGUUUCAGGGAGGGCUUUUUCAGCAGUGUUCUAAUUAGUGCUUCUUUUAAAUUAUGCAAUUUUAUAUCAAAAUUAUCUGUUGGAGAGCAUUAGUGUGUCUAUAAACUAUAAUGCUCUAUUGAAACAUGCAAAAAUGACUUCCACCACCUAAAAAUUAAUCCAAACUGGUGACUGGAAACUCCUUGAUAUCACUUGUGGUGUGCCAAAAUACAUGAGUGUUACCAGAGUAUGGGAGUGUCCGUGUUCAUCUCUUUGUAGCACUACAAAUGAGGAAGUGAUUCAAACACACAGGUAAUUCCCUUCUCAUUCAAUUCCCCUUGUAUGCCAGAUGUGCUCAUAAAUAUCUGAAAGUGGCAUUUGAGAUCUACAGAUUCUUCAUCAAGUCCACCAAGUGACUGUAACCAAGAAGGUAUAUGGCAGCAUAACAAUUAUUUCCAUAUUUUUUUCUUUGACUAAACAUCCAAGUUGCAUAAGAAUCAUGUGGCAGAAUCUUAUGAAUAGUAAUAACAUUCAGACCUAAGUAGAGGUAUUUGAUUUUAAUUGAGCUAUCCUUUCAAGAUUUUUUUUUGUCUCGUCUCUGCCUCGUCAAGGUCAUAUUCUCACAGAUAAUAAUUGUAUUAUAUGAGAAGAGCAGCAAUAACAGGCACUGGAGACACAUUGAAGACAUGUGGCAUUGCUAACAUGAAAGAAAGAGAGAAAAUGUUCUAAAAGCAAUAAUUGAAGUAUACACAGAAGUCAGUCCCAUAGAUAAUGAGCUUAAAUUAUUAAAGUCCAUAAGAGGUUAUUAACUAGAAGAGUAUGAGAAUUAUAAUUUUUGCUGAUCAUGACUUAGUCAACUCUUGCGAACUUAUUUUCUUUUUGACUUAAAUGAAAAGGAAAUAUAAUUCAAAUAGAAGGUCUUUGAAAGAAUUCUACUGCCAAAAACUAACAAAGAAAAGAUAAACUUGUCUUCAUUCCAAUAUAAACUGCUUUGUUUUAAUAUCCAGUCUAACCUUGGCAACUGCGCAUGAAGUGGGAGGCGGGGCAGGGAAAGAACUAAGCAGAUUGAUUAUUAAUAUUAUAUUGGUCUUGUAAGGAAGUUUUUAAAUCUACACCAGACAUUGUCUACAUAGGAUGGAUGAAUCUCCUUUGUCUUCUAUAAUGUUCACAUUUCUUUUUUUCAAGUUUGUUAAAAUAUCUGCAUGGAAAUGUACACUUUUUGUAUGCAUUUUCCUUGAACGUGCUAUAUUUUUUCACUAGCAUUUUUCUCUAGGUUUUUCCAUGCAAUUAAUUUGAAAAAUUCCUAUGGAGUACUCUAAAGGAAAACUGAUCCCACUUUUUCAGAUUGUGAAACCACUUGUAUUGGAAGAUGACAUUUUCGGGGGAGAAGAUUUUGAAGUGCGGUCGACAACAUAUGGAUACCUGCAAAUAUC